rfam:Kluyvera ascorbata ATCC 33433 GKAS.assembly.131, whole genome shotgun sequence.
AAAAUGGCGCCAUUCGGCGCCAUUUUUAUAUGCGGUUAAGCAUUAU